rfam:Aedes aegypti strain Liverpool supercont1.14 genomic scaffold, whole genome shotgun sequence.
CAAACGGUCUUUUUCAAGACCAAAGAGUUGUUUGGAAUAAUUCUUC